GCCAGCGCUGCGCCUGGCGCUGCGCGCUCGUCGGAAGCGAGUGCUCGGGGGUUCGAUUCCCCCCGGCUCCA
rnacentral:tRNA from 1 species